GUCUGCGGCCAUGCCACCCUGAAUGAGCCCGAUCCCGUCUGAUCUCGGAAGCUAAGCAGGGUCAGGCCUGGUUAGUCCUUGGAUGGGAGACCACCUAGGAAGACCAGAUGCUGUAGGCG
rnacentral:rRNA from 1 species